rnacentral:rRNA from 1 species
GACGAACGCUGGCGGCGUGCUUAACACAUGCAAGUCGAACGAGAAAGGGGCUUCGGCUCCGAGUAAAGUGGCGCACGGAUGAGUAACACGUAGGUAACCUGCCUCUAAGAUUGGGAUAACAUGUCGAAAGACGUGCUAAUACCGAAUAAGACCACGGCUUCCUCGGAAGCAGGGGUCAAAGAUAGCCUCUACUUGUAAGCUAUCACUUAGAGAUGGGCCUGCGUACCAUUAGCUAGUUGGUAGGGUAAUGGCCUACCAAGGCAAAGAUGGUUAGCUGGUCUGAGAGGAUGAUCAGCCACACUGGAACUGAGACACGGUCCAGACUCCUACGGGAGGCAGCAGUGGGGAAUAUUGCGCAAUGGGCGAAAAGCCUGACGCAGCAACGCCGCGUGAGUGAUGAAGGCCUU